GGCUAAAGAGUGAGAGGGGGUAUAUAUAGAAUGAGAUAAGGAUUGAAGAGUUAUUAGUAAGAAAUGGGGAAUUGAGCAUUGCAAUAUAGUAGAAUAUACCGUGUAAUGUAAGAUGUGGUGCAUUCUAAAACAACAAGUAAAACACCCAAAUUAUCACUUAAUGAUUUGUUAAGUAGACAUGUUUCUCAUUAAUGUUUACUUUUUUAUAUAAAAUUAACAAAUCAUAUAAAAACUCAUACAUUUUUAAUCUUCUAUUGAAUUUGCAAAAGU
rnacentral:lncRNA from 1 species